rnacentral:rRNA from 1 species
GACGAACGCUGGCGGCGUGCUUAACACAUGCAAGUCGAGCGGUAAGGCCCUUUUGGGGGUACGACGAGCGGCGAACGGGUGAGUAACACGUGGGUGACCUGCCCUCAGCUCUGGGAUAAGCCUGGGAAACGUGGGUCUAAUACCGGAUAUGCACUGCUUAUCGCAUGGUGGGUGGUGGAAAGUCCUGUUCUGUAAUGGAGUUGGGGCGGCUGGGGAGUGGGCCCGCGGCCUAUCAGCUUGUUGGUGGGGUGAUGGCCUACCAAGGCGACGACGGGUAGCCGG